GACGAACGCUGGCGGCGUGCUUAACACAUGCAAGUCGAACGGAAAGGCCCUGCUUUUGUGGGGUGCUCGAGUGGCGAACGGGUGAGUAACACGUGAGUAACCUGCCCUUGACUUUGGGAUAACUUCAGGAAACUGGGGCUAAUACCGGAUAGGAGCUCCUGCUGCAUGGUGGGGGUUGGAAAGUUUCGGCGGUUGGGGAUGGACUCGCGGCUUAUCAGCUUGUUGGUGGGGUAGUGGCUUACCAAGGCUUUGACGGGUAGCCGGCCUGGGAGGGUGACCGGCCACAUUGGGACUGAGAUACGGCCCAGACUCCGACGGGAGGCAGCAGUGGGGAAUAUUGCACAAUGGGCGGAAGCCUGAUGCAGCAACGCCGCGUGCGGGAUGACGGCCUUCGGGUUGUAAACCGCUUUCGCCUGUGACGAAGCGUGAGUGACGGUAAUGGGUAAAGAAGCACCGGCUAACUACGUG
rnacentral:rRNA from 1 species